GACGAACGCUGGCGGCGUGCUUAACACAUGCAAGUCGAACGGAAAGGCCCUGCUUUUGUGGGGUGCUCGAGUGGCGAACGGGUGAGUAACACGUGAGUAACCUGCCCUUGACUUUGGGAUAACUUCAGGAAACUGGGGCUAAUACCGGAUAGGAGCUCCUGCUGCAUGGUGGGGGUUGGAAAGUUUCGGCGGUUGGGGAUGGACUCGCGGCUUAUCAGCUUGUUGGUGGGGUAGUGGCUUACCAAGGCUUUGACGGGUAGCCGGCCUGAGAGGGUGACCGGCCACAUUGGAACUGAGAUACGGCCCAGACUCCUACGGGAGGCAGCAGUGGGGAAUAUUGCACAAUGGGCGGAGGCCUGAUGCAGCAACGCCGCGUGCGGGAUGACGGCCUUCGGGUUGUAAACCGCUUUCGCCUGUGACGAAGCGUGAGUGACGGUAAUGGGUAAAGAAGCACCGGCUAACUACGUG
rnacentral:rRNA from 1 species